AUUAGAACUAAAUUAAGUUGCUAGUUGCAUGGAAAGACAUAAAGGUAUGGUCCAAAGUUCAUACUAGCUUAAAUUGGAAGUCCGGAGCAUGGACCACUAAGUUUAAAAUUCUUAAACCCCAGUCGUUCUCAUCAGUUUAUCACUGGUUAGAUAUAUGUUUUUGCCCAUGCUUUCCACAUCCUGAUGUUCUCUUUCCGUUUUCGUAUGUCGGCAAUCACUUGAUCACAUCUAUAAAAAGUUAAAUAGAGCAUCCAUUCUCCAAUAUUAGUAGCCAUUUUUAUGUGUUCUUGAUUUAAACAUAUUCCAUGUCAAGAACAAACGGAUGCUAAAAUAUUGGAGAAUGGAUGCUCUAUAUUCCAAGAUCAGGGUUCUACCCAGAACAAAUGGCAUUAUUGAGAGUUGGGGCUAUAAAGUACUCAUGGUAUUUCUUACAUAAAGAACAACAAUCGUGAGAAAAUCAAAGUAUGUAGAAAUAAAAAUGCACAAGCUUCCAUUAGUUCAGACUUUGAUCCAUGCCGCCUAGCUGGACAGAAAACCUUCCAGUAAACCAUGAAACAUUUUUUUAGAAAAGGAGUAAACUAUGAAACAUGAAAGGAGCUAGGGAUAGAAAAGAAUGAGGAAACCCCUUGAAACACAAGACAUUAAAGAAAACAAACAGUAAAAUUUGUGCAGACAAGUCAGGGAAUGUCACUACACUGGCAAAUUGCUUUGACGCUGUACACUGGCAUUAUCAUAAGUCAUAAAAGGUACUCCCUAUGUGACUUUUUAUAAGACGUUUUUAGAGUCCGUGGCAGUGUCAAAAAACGUCUUAUAUUAAGUUACAGAGGUUGUAGCUUUCACACCAGACCAUUAGAUCUAAAGACUAACGGACUGCAGAAUAUCCCAGAGCCAAAGGGUCAGCAGAAAUCCUAGAAUCGUUAAGAAAAAAACAAGACCGGCAGGGGGGAGGAACCAGCAAAUCCACUUCAUCAUUUUCAUUUCUUCUGGGCGAGGGCCGAGGAGGCAAAAAAUAACUUCGAUCGAAGCUAACUGAACUGACACAAGUGAAACUUCAAGGCAAAAGUGAUACUGUAAUUAUUUUUCCAGGAGUACUAUAAGCAGAGAUCAAAGAUCACCGUCUUCUUCCUCAUCUUUUCAAGGGAUUAUAAAGGAAAUAAUGGUCAUUUCGCUUCUGGACUAGUCUAGAGCACUCACGAGAAGGCCCGGAGGAACGUGCCGGGAAGCGGCUCGCCUCCUGCUUCCCGCUGAUCUUGUUCGCCAUCCAGCUGAAAAUCUGCAAGGAAAACAGAGGAAUGGAGGAGGGGGUGAGCGGCGAAGCCGAUGCAGGUGCCGAGACUGCAAGAGGCAGAGUGAUGAGGAGCUGAUGACUGAGUGCGAGAGAGAUGUAGGCGAGAGGCCUCGCACUUGAAGUGGUGGUGGCUGCUGCUGCUACCGGCGAUGGAAGGAAGCGGUGUCACACAGUGAGUGGCAGUGUGGAGCUACUGCUACUCUACUAGUAGCUCGGCUUGCUUAUUGGAGCGAUUUGAAGGGGGGAGGCUCAAGUCCCGAGGCUUUGUAGCGUGGCUGAUGAGGUGCUGCUCGCUAUACAUACUUCAUCUGGCAUGUCACUUCCUGGCCUUAUUUUUCUCCGAGAUGUUGACAUUCCCUUUUCGGAGGAGCAUUAUGAGGUGGCGCCAGCCAGCCAGCCAGCCAGACGUGGGUUCUUAGCAGCUCGAGAAAAUCUCCCCCGUAUCAGCUGGUCGAUCCGUGUUUUCCCACAGAAAUUUACAGUCGAAAUGAUCUGUAUGUCCACGCUACUAGCCUUCAAGCGCAAAGGUAACUGUACUCUCGUCUAAGAAAAGUGUGAACUAACUGCAGUGUCCGCGAUUUAAACCUUGAUGAAAA